CUGCAACUCGACNGCAUGAAGUCGGAAUCGCUAGUAAUACGCGGAUCAGCAUGCCGCGGUGAAUACGUUCCCGGGUCUUGUACACACCGCCCGUCACACCAUGGGAGUUGGGAAUGCCCGAAGUCAGUGACCCAACCGCAAGGAGGGAGCUGCCGAAGGCAGGCUUGAUAACUGGGGUGAAGUCGUAACAAGGUAGC
rnacentral:rRNA from 1 species